rnacentral:rRNA from 1 species
UACGGGGGGAACUAGCGUUGUUCGGAUUUACUGGGCGUAAAGGGUGCGUAGGCGGGCUGACAAGUCGGGUGUGAAAUUCCAGGGCUUAACCUUGGAUCUGCAUUCGAAACUGCCGGUCUUGAGUACUGGAGAGGUGAGUGGAAUUCUCGGUGUAGCGGUGAAAUGCGUAGAUAUCGAGAGGAACACCGUUGGCGAAGGCGGCUCACUGGACAGAUACUGACGCUGAGGCACGAAGGUCGGGGGAGCAAACAGG